UGAUGGCAGAUGAUCGCUGGCGGGAAGAAGUUGCCGCCAGAGGAAAGUCCGAACACCACACGGCAGCAUGCCGCGUAAAAGACGCGGAGAUCGCGCGCGUAAGCGCGCGAUCAUGGAAAGUGUCGCAGAAAACAUACCGCCACGCACUUUGCUCGCAAAGUGCUGGGUAAGGUUGAAAAGGCGAGGUAAGAGCUCACCGCUCGCGGAGCAAUCUGCGAGGCAGGAAAAACCCCAUGUGGUGCAAGACAAAACAGAGGAAGGGCAGCCGGUCCGACGUUCCUCGGGUAUCGUCGCAUCACGGCGUGCGCUAGCGCGCCGGGCGUUCAGUGAGAGCUGGACGAGAUAAAUGAUCAUCACGGCUGAGCGAUCAGCCGGACAGAAUUCGGCUUACCGCCAUCGAAAU
rnacentral:RNase_P_RNA from 1 species